UAACACGUGGACAAUCUGCCCCCCGGCCCGGGAUAGCCCAGGGAAACCUGGAUUAAUACCGGAUGAGACGGGACCCGCGAAGGCGGGACCCGGGAAAGGCGCUGCGGCGCCGCCGGGGGAUGAGUCUGCGUCCCAUUAGCUAGACGCGGGGUAACGGCCCACCGUGGCGACGAUGGGGUAGCCGGGCCUGAGAGGGGUGGACGGCCACAUUGGAACUGAGACACGGUCCAGACUCCUACGGGAGGCAGCAGCUAAGAAUCUUCCGCAAUGGGCGAAAGCCUGACGGAAGCGACGCCGCGUGAACGAAGAAAGGCCGUGAGGUUGUAAAGUUCUUUUCGGGAGGGGGAACAACCGUGGCAGGGAAUGGCCGCGGGAUGACGUGAAUCCCGGAAUAAGCCCCGGCUAACUACGUGCCAGCCGCCGC
rnacentral:rRNA from 1 species